GCAAUGCGCGCAAAGCGUGACGGGGGGAACCCCAAGUGCCGUUGGUCUUUUUGAUCGACGGCUUUUUCGGGAAGUCCAAUAAGCUUCCGGAAUAAGGGCUGGGUAAGACUGGUGCCAGCCGCCGCGGUAAUACCAGCAGCCCAAGUGGUGGCCGCGAUUAUUGGGCCUAAAGCGCUCGUAGCCGGAUCAGCAAGUCCUUUGUGAAAUCGGGCCGCCCAACGGUUCGGCGUGCAAAGGAUACUGUUGGUCUUGAGACCGGGAGAGGUCGGAGGUACUCUUGGGGUAGCGGUGAAAUGCUGUAAUCCUGGGGGGACCACCAGUGGCGAAGGCGUCCGACCAGAACGGAUCUGACGGUGAGGGGCGAAGGCUAGGGGAGCGAACGGGAUUAGAUACCCCGGUAGUCCUAGCUGUAAAGCAUGCGGGCCAGGUGUCUAGCGCUCCUCGAGGGCGCUAUGUGCCGGAGGGAAGCCGUUAAGCCCGCCGCCUGGGAAGUACGGCCGCAAGGCUGAAACUUAAAGAAAUUGGCGGGGGAGCACCACAAGGGGUGGAACCUGCGGUUCAAUUGGAUUCAACGCCGGG
rnacentral:rRNA from 1 species